GAACAGUCGUGUCAACUGCCUGAAGCAUAUAAUAUUAUUAGUACAUAUCUGUACAUUUCCUUACUUGAGAAUCGAAUUCUACUGUUUGAGUUACGAGUGCUACCAUUGCUUUCAAAUCGUCUCCUUUAGGUUUCUCACUAAAGGACAAAACCCUCCCCUUGUCAUCAAUCUUCAUUAAACCAAAAUCUGAGGCACGGCUACACAAAAAUACAGGAUCAACUACAUAUAAUUUGCAAUCAACACAUUUGGGUUUCUGUUCUGCUUUUGUUUUUAGAUUAUGCAUGUACUAAAUGUGGAAAUUAGUUAGCUGAACAUGACAAGUUCCUGAUCACAAACUAAGAUACCUGUCGUCCAUGGGCAGGCAAGAAAUACUGAUGUCAGCUCCACUUUGGCGAUGGUUCUGGAAUCGAAUUACACAGAAAUCAUAGAUUGUAUUGUAAAGGAGUUUGCAGUUUUUAGCAAGAGGGAUUGAAGCAAUCUGUAUUUGAAAGAAAUGAGAGAAAUAGGAAGCGGGAGGAUAGCAGGACAGAGUUUCUUGCCUGGAGGAAGUCCAUGUAAUCCAUUCUGUACAAGUGGUCUCCGGAUAGAAUCAGAAUAUCUUCAAUUUCCUUACUUCUUUGAUCCUAUUUCAUGUGUGCAAACUCAAAAUGAUAUCUUCAUGCAGAAGUGUGUUUGUUUUGCAGAAAGGAGGUAGAACUAUACCUCAAAUAGCCAGCCAAACUGCCUUACAGCAUCAGCAGUACCCUGGAACCAUUUUUUGCCUGCAUCGCCUGGAGUUUGUGUGGCAGCAAGAACCUGAACAGAAAAAAAUAUUAAACUACCAUCUUUUGUUUAAGUGAAGGGAACUAAGAGAGGGGAGGUUUACUCACAGCUGGUUUUGCACGACGCUUUGUCAAUGGAAAAAGACGAGUUCCUGCACCUCCUCCCAGUAUUAUUGCUGCUACUGUUCGUGAGUUUGUUUUCUCUUGUCCAAUUUCCCUAACCUGUAUUUCAACUUGUUAGGGUAAACCUGUUGUCAACUAUAGUGGUUUUAUACUCCCUUUUGUAGUUUUAGGGGAGUGCAUAUUACUCCAACAUUGAAUGUAUUUUGUGUUGUUAUUCAUGCAUCAGCUAAACUAUACUUGACUUCUAAAAAUAAUAGUGGAUGUCAUUCUGAGUUCAAUAUGUUUAGAUUUUAUUUUUUUCAUAUUUCCCUUAUCAUAAGUUUGGUAGGCGGUAAUCCACUUUUUUCAUUUCGCUAA